GACGAACGCUGGCGGCGUGCUUAACACAUGCAAGUCGAACGAAGUGGCGAACGGGUGAGUAACGCGUAAUCAACCUGCCCUUCAGAGGGGGACAACAGUUGGAAACGACUGCUAAUACCGCAUACUGAAGGAGGGGUUUGCGUCUGAUUAGCUAGUUGGAGGGGUAACGGCCCACCAAGGCGAUGAUCAGUAGCCGGUGUGAGAGGGUGAACGUGCAAAUUGGGACUGGGACAAGGCCCAGACUCCGACGGGGGGCAGCAGUGGGGAAGCUUCCGCAAUGGGCGACAGUCUGACGGAGGAACGCCGGGUGAGUGGUGACGGGCUUCGGGUUGUAAAGCUCUGUUAAGCGGGACGCGGUACCGGAAGAGAAAGCCACGGCUAACUACGUGCCAGCAGCCGCGGUAAUAC
rnacentral:rRNA from 1 species